rnacentral:rRNA from 1 species
UACGUAGGGUGCGAGCGUUGUCCGGAAUUAUUGGGCGUAAAGAGCUCGUAGGCGGUGUGUCGCGUCGGCCGUGAAAACCUGGGGCUUAACUCUGGGCGUGCGGUCGAUACGGGCAUCACUAGAGUUCGGCAGGGGAGACUGGAAUUCCUGGUGUAGCGGUGAAAUGCGCAGAUAUCAGGAGGAACACCGGUGGCGAAGGCGGGUCUCUGGGCCGAUACUGACGCUGAGGCACGAAAGUGUGGGGAGCAAACAGG